rnacentral:rRNA from 1 species
GCGUCGAGCGGCGGACGGGUGAGUAAUGCCUAGGAAAUUGCCCUGAUGUGGGGGAUAACCAUUGGAAACGAUGGCUAAUACCGCAUGAUGCCUACGGGCCAAAGAGGGGGACCUUCGGGCCUCUCGCGUCAGGAUAUGCCUAGGUGGGAUUAGCUAGUUGGUGAGGUAAGGGCUCACCAAGGCGACGAUCCCUAGCUGGUCUGAGAGGAUGAUCAGCCACACUGGAACUGAGACACGGUCCAGACUCCUACGGGAGGCAGCAGUGGGGAAUAUUGCACAAUGGGCGCAAGCCUGAUGCAGCCAUGCCGCGUGUGUGAAGAAGGCCUUCGGGUUGUAAAGCACUUUCAGUCGUGAGGAAGGUAGUGUAGUUAAUAGCUGCAUUAUUUGACGUUAGCGACAGAAGAAGCACCGGCUAACUCCGUGCCAGCAGCCGCGGUAAUACGGAGGGUGCGAGCGUUAAUCGGAAUUACUGGGCGUAAAGCGCAUGCAGGUGGUUUGUUAAGUCAGAUGUGAAAGCCCGGGGCUCAACCUCGGAAUUGCAUUUGAAACUGGCAGACUAGAGUACUGUAGAGGGGGGUAGAAUUUCAGGUGUAGCGGUGAAAUGCGUAGAGAUCUGAAGGAAUACCGGUGGCGAAGGCGGCCCCCUGGACAGAUACUGACACUCAGAUGCGAAAGCGUGGGGAGCAAACAGGAUUAGAUACCCUGGUAGUCCACGCCGUAAACGAUGUCUACUUGGAGGUUGUGGCCUUGAGCCGUGGCUUUCGGAGCUAACGCGUUAAGUAGACCGCCUGGGGAGUACGGUCGCAAGAUUAAAACUCAAAUGAAUUGACGGGGGCCCGCACAAGCGGUGGAGCAUGUGGUUUAAUUCGAUGCAACGCGAAGAACCUUACCUACUCUUGACAUCCAGAGAACUUUCCAGAGAUGGAUUGGUGCCUUCGGGAACUCUGAGACAGGUGCUGCAUGGCUGUCGUCAGCUCGUGUUGUGAAAUGUUGGGUUAAGUCCCGCAACGAGCGCAACCCUUAUCCUUGUUUGCCAGCGAGUAAUGUCGGGAACUCCAGGGAGACUGCCGGUGAUAAACCGGAGGAAGGUGGGGACGACGUCAAGUCAUCAUGGCCCUUACGAGUAGGGCUACACACGUGCUACAAUGGCGCAUACAGAGGGCAGCCAACUUGCGAAAGUGAGCGAAUCCCAAAAAGUGCGUCGUAGUCCGGAUUGGAGUCUGCAACUCGACUCCAUGAAGUCGGAAUCGCUAGUAAUCGUGGAUCAGAAUGCCACGGUGAAUACGUUCCCGGGCCUU